rnacentral:misc_RNA from 1 species
GAGCAGCGAUACAGAGAGCUAGUGAAACGGAUACAGAGAGAAAAAGAUCUGCAUGUUAUUCAACAGAAAAUGGAAAUGAAGAAAAAUUUGAUGGAUAAGAAGGAUAAAAGAACAAAACUACAAGAGGAAACCAAAUCCUCGGCCCCUGUUUACAGGUGGCGCCACAAGAGAAAACGAUGAGUUGCGCAAAAUGGGAAAUUGAUAAAGGCAAUUAAUGUCGUGAACACUAUCCAAACUCAUUCAUUUGGUGAUGAAUUCAUGUGACCAUGAAAGAUAAAUUAUUAAAGUGAACUGUUGAAACAGUUGGACAUCUAUGUGUAACAUUUGUUGUAAUGAAGAAGAACGAUUUGAAACGUUGAUAAAUUGAUUAAAACAAUUUAUCAUAAUGAUAAGCUGUAAACGUGUAUGUGUACAAAUUGUUUGAAAUACAAGAUUGUUUUGAUAUAUAUUUAAAGUGCUUGUUCUAAAGGUGACGUUGUGCAUUCAAAUGCUAUUGCAUGUAUAUAUAGAAAUGAUUUUAAACAGGACUCAUUUGAACGCACCAUCAUGUAUGUACAUGUAUAUAAGCACUGUCGAAAAAUUUGCUUCGGAUACGGUCUGUUAACAUUAAAUUGUUUUACACAU